rnacentral:rRNA from 1 species
GCUAAGCAGGGACGGGCCUGGUUAGUACCUUGAUGGGAGACCGCCUGGGAAUACCAGGUGUUGUAGGCU